rnacentral:pre_miRNA from 1 species
AGUGAAAUUGCUGGGUCAAAUGGCAGCUUUACCUCUAGUUUUUCGAGGAACCAUCAGACUGUUUACCACAAUGGUUGAGCCAUUUUGCAUUCCCACCAGCAAU